GAUGAAGAACGUAGCGAAAUGCGAUAAGUAAUGUGAAUUGCAGAAUUCAGUGAAUCAUCGAAUCUUUGAACGCACAUUGCGCCCGCCAGCAUUCUGGCGGGCAUGCCUGUUCGAGCGUCAUUUCAACCCUCGAGCCCCCCCGGGGGCCUCGGUGUUGGGGGACGGCACACCAGCCGCCCCCGAAAUGCAGUGGCGACCCCGCCGCAGCCUCCCCUGCGUAGUAGCACACACCUCGCACCGGAGCGCGGAGGCGGUCACGCCGUAAAAUGCCCAACUUUCUUAGAGUUGACCUCGGAUCAGGUAGGAAUACCCGCUGAACUUAAGCAUAUCAAUAAGCGGAGGA
rnacentral:misc_RNA from 1 species